GCAUUGUAACACUGAAAGGUUCAGAAACGUGGACAGCACAUACACAAAGAGAAAGGCAAGGCAUGGACGGUUUGACAUGGGCAGAAAAUGGGUGGAUUGUUGGCUGAAAUAAUGAAGAACAUGUGUGUACAAAUGCAAAGGAAAAACACACACCAUGGGCAAAGGAAACACACACACAUGGGCAUAAAAUGGGUUGAUUUGUGGUUGAAAUGAUGAAGCAUGUGUGUGUAAAUGUAAAGAGGAAACAUGCCAACACACACCCACACAAGCUCACAUGCAAAGGAAAUGGAGUGGUCCUCUCCCUAGCCUAUAAAUACAUCCACCCUUCACCAUAACAAGGGAGAAGAAAACCAAAGAGAACACAAUCCACCCAUCCACCCUUCACCAUAACCCACCUAUAUCCAUCCACCACCAUA
rnacentral:lncRNA from 1 species